rnacentral:rRNA from 1 species
UGGGGAAUAUUGCACAAUGGGCGCAAGCCUGAUGCAACCAUGCCGCGUGUAUGAAGAAGGCCUUCGGGUUGUAAAGUACUUUCAGCGGGGAGGAAGGGAGUAAAGUUAAUACCUUUACUCAUUGACGUUACCCGCAGAAGAAGCACCGGCUAACUCCGUGCCAGCAGCCGCGGUAAUACGGAGGGUGCAAGCAUUAAUCGGAAUUACUGGGCGUAAAGCGCACGCAGGCGGUUUGUUAAGUCAGAUGUGAAAUCCCCGGGCUCAACCUGGGAACUGCAUCUGAUACUGGCAAGCUUGAGUCUCGUAGAGGGGGGUAGAAUUCCAGGUGUAGCAGUGAAAUGCGUAGAGAUCUGGAGGAAUACCGGUGGCGAAGGCGGCCCCCUGGACGAAGACUGACGCUCAGGUGCGAAAGCGUGGGGAGCAAACGGG